UCUUUAUAAUAGGACUCCAAAGAUCGUGCAAAUCGAGGAGCGUCCUGCAUCUGCUGCUGCUGCUCAAGGAGCUAAGCCACCACCUGGCAUACUCCAAAAAUGUCUGCCCUAGUGGCUGGGGCAUUUGGAGCUUGCAUAACCGGCGGGUUGGCAUCUCCUCUCGUGGUCACUCUUGCUCCUCUUCUUUUGGCAUCAGAAUUUGCUAAAA
rnacentral:lncRNA from 1 species